GACGAACGCUGGCGGCGUGCUUAACACAUGCAAGUCGAACGGAAAGGCCCUGCUUUUGUGGGGUGCUCGAGUGGCGAACGGGUGAGUAACACGUGAGUAACCUGCCCUUGACUUUGGGAUAACUUCAGGAAACUGGGGCUAAUACCGGAUAGGAGCUCCUGCUGCAUGGUGGGGGUGGGAAAGUUUCUGCGGUUGGGGAUGGACUCGCGGCUUAUCAGCUUGUUGGUGGGGUAGUGGCUUACCAAGGCUUUGACGGGUAGCCGGCCUGAGAGGGUGACCGGCCACAUUGGGACUGAGAUACGGCCCAGACUCCUACGGGAGGCAGCAGUGGGGAAUAUUGCACAAUGGGCGGAAGCCUGAUGCAGCAACGCCGCGUGCGGGAUGACGGCCUUCGGGUUGUAAACCGCUUUCGCCUGUGACGAAGCGUGAGUGACGGUAAUGGGUAAAGAAGCACCGGCUAACUACGUG
rnacentral:rRNA from 1 species